rnacentral:snRNA from 1 species
GGAUGUGAGGGCAAUCUGGCUGCAACAUCUGUCACCCCACUGAUUGCCAGGGUUGAUUCAGCUGAUCUGGCUGGCUAGGCGGGUGUCCUCUUCCUCCCUCAUUGCUCCAUGUGAGUCCCUCCUGAAGCUGCGUUCUCAGUCGAAGAGGACGGCGUUCCCCGAAUAGAGACCAACCGGUCUUCAGUUGAGGGUAUACUAGUAGUUGCACUCCCCUGCUAGAACCUCCAAACAAGCUCCCAAUAACAACAACAUCAAUAAUAGUAAAUACAACAAUAAAACAAGGGCAACAAAAGGGAAUAAAUAAAUAUUAAAAAUUUUU